rnacentral:rRNA from 1 species
UACGUAGGGUGCGAGCGUUGUCCGGAAUUAUUGGGCGUAAAGAGCUCGUAGGCGGCUUGUCGCGUCGUUCGUGAAAACUUGGGGCUCAACCCCAAGCUUGCGGUCGAUACGGGCAGGCUAGAGUUCGGUAGGGGAGACUGGAAUUCCUGGUGUAGCGGUGAAAUGCGCAGAUAUCAGGAGGAACACCGGUGGCGAAGGCGGGUCUCUGGGCCGAUAUUGACGCUGAUGAGCGAAAGCUAGGGGAGCAAACGGG